rnacentral:rRNA from 1 species
CCUACGGGAGGCUGCAGUGGGGAAUCUUGCGCAAUGGGCGAAAGCCUGACGCAGCAACGCCGCGUGCGGGAUGAAGGCUCUCGGGUUGUAAACCGCUUUCAGCAGGAACGCGGUACUUGCAGAAGAAGGUGCGGCCAACUAUGUGCCAGCAGCCGCGGUGAUACAUAGGCACCAAGCGUUGUCCGGAUUUAUUGGGCGUAAAGAGCUCGUAGGUGGUUCGGUAAGUCGGGUGUGAAAACUUUGGGCUCAACCCAAAGCCUGCAUCCGAUACUGCUGGACUAGAGUUCGGUAGGGGAGCGGGGAAUUCCUAGUGUAGCGGUGAAAUGCGCAGAUAUUAGGAGGAACACCGGUGGCGAAGGCGCCGCUCUGGGCCGAACUGACACUGAGGAGCGAAAGCGUGGGUAGCAAACAGGAUUAGAUACCCUUGUAGUC